UCUCCGUUGGUGAACCAGCGGAGGGAUCAUUACCGAGCUUUUCUACUCCCAAACCCCUGUGAACUUAUACCUUUACUGUUGCUUCGGCGGGUUAAUGCCCCGGAAGGCCCAAAAAGCCGCCGGAACCAGGCGCCCGCCGGAGGCCCAAAACUCUUGUUUAUUUAUGUUUCCUCUCCGAGUGGCACAAGCAAAAUAAAUCAAAACUUUCAACAACGGAUCUCUUGGUUCUG
rnacentral:misc_RNA from 1 species